rnacentral:rRNA from 1 species
UACAGAGGGUGCAAGCGUUGUUCGGAAUCACUGGGCGUAAAGCGCACGUAGGCGGACUCUUAAGUCGGUGGUGAAAUCCUGGAGCUCAACUCCAGAACUGCCUUCGAUACUGAGAGUCUCGAGUCCGAGAGAGGUGAGUGGAACUGCGAGUGUAGAGGUGAAAUUCGUAGAUAUUCGCAAGAACACCAGUGGCGAAGGCGGCUCACUGGCCCGGUACUGACGCUGAGGUGCGAAAGCGUGGGGAGCAAACAGG